rnacentral:tRNA from 1 species
AUUUCUCUAGUCUAAAGGUUAAGAUAUACUGCUCAUAACAGUACUGAUGUAGGUUCGAGUCCUACGAGAAAUA